rnacentral:misc_RNA from 1 species
UCCAGCAGCCGCGGUAAUACGUUCCCGGGCCUUGUACACACCGCCCGUCACACCACGAGAGUUUGUAACACCCGAAGUCGGUGGGGUAACCGCAAGGGGCCAGCCGCCUAAGGUGGGACAGAUGAUUGGGGUGAAGUCGUAACAAGGUAGCCGUAUCGGAAGGUGCGGCUGGAUCACCUCCUUUCUAAGGAUAAUGCAGUCCUUGUGGACUGAUAAGAUGUUGACUGUUACUUGUUUGUUUAGUUUUGAGGGAGCAAUUCUCUCAAAGCUUUUUUUAAUCGUUCCUUGAAAACUAGAUAAUCGUAAGAAGAAGUCAAAGUAAAACCGAGAAUCGCCAUUUUAGUUUUUCUCUCUUAUUAAUUAAGAGUAUAACCAUUUAGGUUAAGUUAGGAAGGGCGCACGGUGGAUACCUAGGCACACAGAGAAUAGAGGCAAUC